rnacentral:rRNA from 1 species
GACGAACGCUGGCGGCGUGCUUAACACAUGCAAGUCGAACGGUGACGAGGAGCUUGCUCCUCUGAUCAGUGGCGAACGGGUGAGUAACACGUGAGCAACCUGCCCCAGACUCUGGGAUAACAGUUGGAAACAGCUGCUAAUACCGGAUACGAGACGGAGAGGCAUCUCUACCGUCUGGAAAGUUUUUCGGUCUGGGAUGGACUCGCGGCCUAUCAGCUAGUUGGUGAGGUAAUGGCUCACCAAGGCGACGACGGGUAGCCGGCCUGAGAGGGCGACCGGCCACACUGGGACUGAGACACGGCCCAGACUCCUACGGGAGGCAGCAGUGGGGAAUAUUGCACAAUGGGCGAAAGCCUGAUGCAGCGACGCCGCGUGAGGGAUGACGGCCUCGGUUGUAACCGUACUUCUAGUCAGGAAGAAGACGAAAGUAGACGGUACCGUACGCAGAAGAAGACGACCGGACCGUAACCUACGUACGCCGACGCAGCCGCGGUAACGUACGUACG